AACGCGAAGAACCUUACCUGGGUUAAAUCACGGAUGCAAGGCGCAGAGAUGCGUCCCCCAGGCAACUGGCGUCCGUGAAGGUGCUGCAUGGCUGUCGUCAGCUCGUGUCGUGAGAUGUUGGGUUAAGUCCCGCAACGAGCGCAACCCUUACCACUAGUUGCCAGCAUUAAGUUGGGCACUCUAGCGGAACUGCCGGUGAUAAACCGGAGGAAGGUGGGGAUGACGUCAAGUCAUCAUGGCCUUUAUGUCCAGGGCUACACACGUGCUACAAUGGCCGGUACAAACUGCCGCAAACUCGCGAGAGGGAGCCAAUCGGAAAAAACCGGUCUCAGUUCGGAUUGGAGUCUGCAACUCGACUCCAUGAAGUUGGAAUCGCUAGUAAUCGCAGAUCAGCACGCUGCGGUGAAUACGUUCCCGGGUCUUGUACACACCG
rnacentral:rRNA from 1 species